rnacentral:rRNA from 1 species
UUCGUUCCAAGUCCAAUCUUGAAUAUGGCUUUAGCAUGGCCCAGAGAGGGUGGUAAACUCCAUCUAAGGCUAAAUACUGGCACGAGUCCGAUAGCGAACAAGUACCGUGAGGGAAAGUUGAAAAGUACUCUGAAGAGAGAGUUAACAGUGCGUGAAACCGCUUAGAGGCAAACGGGUGUAGUCAAGCUGCAAGCCCAUUGAAAUAGGGGGGCCAGAAUGGCGUGAGUCUGAGCACAAACGGGCUGUCGUUGGGGUGCGUCCACACGGGCGUGUUCGGGUAGCAAUACCUGGAUCUGUGAAGUGGCAUCCGCCGCUGCAGGCCUCGGCGUCAGUUGCUCUGCUGGCCCUCUCACUUUCUUUGUGGCGUAUGUCACGACCGUCGUUGCUGUCGGUCUGCUCCGUCUGAACCGUGUCGCGAGUAGUCUUGUGCUUCUUGUGGCAUGGGGGCAGGUAGCUGGGCGUCUUUGCUUGCAUUGGCGUGCAGUGUUAUCGCUGGGCGGAGUGGUACCUGUAACUGUGCAGUGCGGCGGGGCUGGCGGUGCAUUGGUUUCUAGGCGUGCUAAAACAUGCUGGCUUAGCGUUAGU